rnacentral:rRNA from 1 species
UACGUAGGGGGCAAGCGUUGUCCGGAAUCAUUGGGCGUAAAGAGCGUGUAGGCGGUCCGGUAAGUCCGCUGUGAAAGUCGGGGGCUCAACCCUCGAAUGCCGGUGGAUACUGUCGGGCUAGAGUGCGGAGGAGGCGAGUGGAAUUCCUGGUGUAGCGGUGAAAUGCGCAGAUAUCAGGAGGAACACCUAGUGCGAAGGCAGCUCGCUGGGACGUAACUGACGCUGAGACGCGAAAGCGUGGGGAGCAAACAGG